GACGAACGCUGGCGACGUGCUUAACACAUGCAAGUCGAACGGAAAGGCCCUGCUUUUGUGGGGUGCUCGAGUGGCGAACGGGUGAGUAACACGUGGGUAACCUGCCCUUGACUUUGGGAUAACUUCAGGAAACUGGGGCUAAUACCGGAUAGGAGCUCCUGCUGCAUGGUGGGGGUUGGAAAGUUUCGGCGGUUGGGGAUGGACUCGCGGCUUAUCAGCUUGUUGGUGGGGUAGUGGCUUACCAAGGCUUUGACGGGUAGCCGGCCUGAGAGGGUGACCGGCCACAUUGGGACUGAGAUACGGCCCAGACUCCUACGGGAGGCAGCAGUGGGGAAUAUUGCACAAUGGGCGGAAGCCUGAUGCAGCAACGCCGCGUGCGGGAUGACGGCCUUCGGGUUGUAAACCGCUUUCGCCUGUGACGAAGCGUGAGUGACGGUAAUGGGUAAAGAAGCACCGGCUAACUACGUG
rnacentral:rRNA from 1 species